AUACGGAGGGUGCAAACGUUGUUCGGAAUUACUGGGCGUAAAGCGCGCGUAGGCGGUUUGUUAAGUCAGAUGUGAAAGUCCACAGCUCAACUGUGGAAGUGCAUUUGAAACUGGCAGACUUGAGUACUGGAGGGGGUGGUGGAAUUCCCGGUGUAGAGGUGAAAUUCGUAGAUAUCGGUAGGAAUACCGGUGGCGAAGGCGACCACCUGGCCAGAUACUGACGCUGAGGUGCGAAAGCGUGGGGAGCAAACAGGAUUAGAAACCCUAGUAGUCC
rnacentral:rRNA from 1 species